rnacentral:rRNA from 1 species
CAGUCGCCACGGUAAUACGAAGGGGGCUAGCGUUGUUCGGAAUUACUGGGCGUAAAGCGCACGUAGGCGGAUAUUUAAGUCAGGGGUGAAAUCCCGCAGCUCAACUGCGGAACUGCCUUUGAUACUGGGUAUCUUGAGUAUGGAAGAGGUUAGUGGAAUUGCGAGUGUAGAGGUGAAAUUCGUAGAUAUUCGCAGGAACACCAGUGGCGAAGGCGGCUAACUGGUCCAUAACUGACGCUGAGGUGCGAAAGCGUGGGGAGCAAACAGGAUUAGAUACCCCCGUAGUCCCUGUCUCUUAUAC